rnacentral:lncRNA from 1 species
UUUACAGGCUGGAAAACUAAGAUCUAGAGAUGUGAAAUGCCCUAGUUAGACUCAGAAGUCACCUGAAGAGGAUUUGCCAAAUCAGCUUUCAAACUGAGGAAACAGAGUCCUUCCACAGUUAAUUGAAGCGUACGAUAAAUUGUAUGCUGUGUGAGGAUUGAUCACGUUAUAUAGCAAGAUCGUGGAAUAUAAAUGGAG